GAAUGUGAGGGUAAUCUGGCAGUGACAUCUGUCACCCCAUUGAUCUCCAGGGUUGGUUUUGCUGAUCUGACUGGCUAAGCAGAUGUCCUCUUCCUCCCUCCCUCAUCAUUCCAUGUGUGUCUGCACACUCAGUCGAAGAGGGUGGCCAUCCCCAAAUAGAGACCAACUGGUCUUCGGUUAAGGGUAACUGCAAGUAGCUGCACCCCCCUGCUAGAACCUCCAGACAAACUCAAAAGUUCCAAAAUGUAUGUUUUGGAAUAGCUGCUGGUAGUUGGGGACAGUCACUGUUUACUCCUGCUUUCCUAAAAGU
rfam:Erinaceus europaeus unplaced genomic scaffold scaffold00268, whole genome shotgun sequence